CAUGGCCUACGGGGGGCAGCAGUGAGGAAUAUUGGUCAAUGGGCGGGAGCCUGAACCAGCCAAGUCGCGUGAAGGAAGAAGGUACUUAGUAUUGUAAACUUCUUUUGUCGGGGAACAAAGGCGGAGACGCGUCUCCGGAUGAGUGUACCCGAAGAAAAAGCAUCGGCUAACUCCGUGCCAGCAGCCGCGGUAAUACGUAGGGAGCGAGCGUUGUCCGGAUUUACUGGGUGUAAAGGGUGCGUAGGCGGCUUGGCAAGUCAGUAGUGAAAUCCAUGGGCUUAACCCAUGAACUGCUAUUGAAACUG
rnacentral:rRNA from 1 species